rnacentral:rRNA from 1 species
UACGGGGGGGGCAAGCGUUGUUCGGAUUCAUUGGGCGUAAAGGGUGCGUAGGCGGCGCGGUAAGUCGGGUGUGAAAUCUCGGAGCUUAACUCCGAAACUGCAUUCGAUACUGCUGUGCUUGAGGACUGGAGAGGAGACUGGAAUUCAUGGUGUAGCAGUGAAAUGCGUAGAGAUCAUGAGGAAGACCAGUGGCGAAGGCGGGUCUCUGGACAGUUCCUGACACUGAGGCACGAAGGCCAGGGGAGCAAACGGG